rnacentral:rRNA from 1 species
CCCUUAGAUGUUCUGGGCUGCACGCGCGCUACACUGAUGCGUUCAACGAGUGUAUAACCUUACCCGAUAGGGUUGGGUAAUCUUUUGAACACGCAUCGUGAUGGGGAUAGAUUAUUGCAAUUAUUAAUCUUCAACGAGGAAUGCCUAGUAAGCGCAAGUCAUCAGCUUGCGUUGAUUACGUCCCUGCCCUUUGUACACACCGCCCGUCGCUCCUACCGAUUGAAUGGUCCGGUGAAGCGUUCGGACCGUGGCCUUUGGACGGUUCGCCGUCUGUUGGCUGCGGGAAGUUCGUUAAACCUUAUCAUUUAGAGGAAGGAGAAGUCGUAACA